UACGUAGGGUGCGAGCGUUAAUCGGAAUUACUGGGCGUAAAGCGUGCGCAGGCGGUGAGCUGUGUCCGAUGUGAAAGCCCCGGGCUUAACCUGGGAAUGGCAUUGGAAACUGGCUCGCUGGAGUGUGGCAGAGGGGGGUGGAAUUCCGCGUGUAGCAGUGAAAUGCGUAGAGAUGCGGAGGAACACCGAUGGCGAAGGCAGCCCCCUGGGCUAACACUGACGCCUCAGGCACGAAAGCGUGGGGAGCAAACAGG
rnacentral:rRNA from 1 species